AAACAAUACAUUUUCAAUAGAUAAUUGUUGUUUAAUGUGUUAAUGUUGUUAUUUGAUUUAAAUAUUGGAAAACUUCACCCUUUUAUAAAAAGGCCUCAUAUCAUACAGGCGGAGAAAUAUACAACACAAUUAAAUGUACACAACCUGUGGAAAACCGCAAUCGAUGGUGAACGAAUUUGUUUGAGAAUGAACUAAACUAUCAACAAUAAGCAUAAAACAUAAUGAUUUACAGUUGCAAACCCA
rnacentral:lncRNA from 1 species